rnacentral:rRNA from 1 species
UCGAGAAUCUUCCACAAUGGACGAAAGUCUGAUGGAGCGACGCCGCGUGAUCGAUGAAGUGCUUCGGUAUGUAAAGAUCUUUUUAUGAGGGAAGAAGUUUAUUGACGGUACCUCAUGAGUAAGGGCCUGCAAAACUCGUGCCAGCAGCAGCGGUAAUACGAGUGGCCCAAGCGUUAUCCGGAAUUAUUGGGCGUAAAGGAUGUGUAGGUGGUUAUGUUAGUCGAACGUCUAACCUCUGUGCUCAACAUGGAGACAGCGUUCGAAACGGCAUGACUAGAGUAUGUCAGGGGUAAGCGGAACUCAUAGUGUAGGGGUGAAAUCCGUUGAUAUUAUGGGGAACACCAAAAGCGAAGGCAGCUUACUGGGACAUUACUGACACUGAAACAUGAAAGCGUGGGUAGCGAAUGGGAUUAGAUACCCCCGUAGUCCCUGAGCGGGCUGGCAAGGCGCAU